rnacentral:rRNA from 1 species
GAUGAACGCUGGCGGCGUGCCUAACACAUGCAAGUCGAGCGAACGGACGAGAAGCUUGCUCCCCUGAUGUUAGCGGGGGACGGGUGAGUAACACGUGGAUAACCUACCUAUCAGACUGGGAUAAUAACGGGAAACCGGAGCUAAUAACGGAUAAUAUUUUGAACCGCAUGGUUCAAAAGUUAAAGACGGUCUUGCUGACACUUAUAGCUGGAUCAGCGUUGCAUUAGCUAGUUGGUAAGGUAACGGCUUACCAACGCAACGAUGCAUAGCCGACCUGAGAGGGUGAUCGGCCACACUGGAACUGAGACACGGUCCAGACUCCUACGGGAGGCAGCAGUAGGGAAUCUUCCGCAAUGGGCGAAAGCCUGACGGAGCAACGCCGCGUGAGUGAUGAAGGUCUUCGGAUCGUAAAGCUCUGUUAUUAGGAAAGAACAUAUGUGUAAGUAACUGUGCACAUCUUGACGGUACCUAAUCAGAAAGCCACGGCUAACUACGUG